rnacentral:lncRNA from 1 species
CCCCCCCAACAGCCUCCAAUGUCCCCAGUGUCCCCCGAUGUCCCCGUCAGAGCCCCAAGGACCCCUCAGGAUGUCCCCCUUGUGCCUCCCACAGCCCCCCCGUUGCGUCCCCAAAUUGUCCCCUUAGGGCCGCGCUGUGUCCCCACCUUGUCCCCCACAGCCUGGGGACAUCCAGCCGGGGGAUCCUGGGGGCUGUCGGGGACAAUCCCGGCGGUGGGGACAAUUCAAGGACACGUCCCCUUGUCCUCAAGGACGUCCCCACCCCCCCAAGUGACGAACCAGAGCCUGGGCGCACCCUUAAGCUUUAUUUAUUUAUCGGUGCGAGGAGACAAAGGACAGUGCCACCCUCCCUGUCCCCAAAAGGCCACCUCAGAGUCCCCAAAAAGGACCAGGGGGACCCCAGGACGCCCCCGGGUGACACCGCUGUCCCCAAGGUCACCGGGGGGGCUACGGCUGCCCCGCCACCUCCCCGGGCAGCACCCGCAGCGCCUCCGCCAGCCUCUGUGUCGCCUCCUCGUCCUGGGUCACCGUCCCCAAGGCCACCGCGGCUGUCCCCAAGGCGCGGGUGGUGGCGGGGAAGCCGCGGGCGUCCUGCAGGUCGUCCUCCAGUGCUCCCAGUAGCUGCCGCAACUGGUCGGCCACCUCCUCCAGCGUCCCUUGGGCCACCGAGGCCUCCCGGGUGGCUUGGGUGACAUCGGGGGGGGGGGUGGCGUGGGCCAGGUGACGGUAAUGGGCCAGUUGGUGACGUUGCUGGUCCAAGGCGGUGGCCAGGUGGUGGCCGGAGCGCUCGGAGGCCCAGGCGGCCACCUGGCACACCAGCAGGACGGUGGCCAGGCAGGGGACGAGGUGGCCCUCCUGUGUCACCCCCAGCGCCUCCCGCACCGCGUCGAAGGACACUGCGGGGACAAGGAGGGACGGGGGUGGCACCUGGUGGCCCCUGGUGGCGUUCCCAGGGUCACCGUCCCCAAAUUGUGGCCUCUGGACCCCCUCCCAGUGCCCCCCAGUUCCCUCCCAGUGCCCCCAUCCCCUCCCCAGUGUCCUCUUCCCAGUGUCCCUGUCCCCUCCCGGUGUCCCCAUCCUGUCCCAGUGCCCCCAUCCCCUCCCAGUAUCCUCUUCCCAGUGUCCCCAUCCCCUCCCAGUGUCCCCAUCCCCUUCCCAGUGUCCCUUGAUCCCCUCCCAGUACCCUCCGGCUCACUCCCAGUGCCCCCAGUCCCUCCUCCCAGUGCCCCCCAGUUCCCUCCCAGCGCCCCCAUCCCCUUCCCAGUGUCCCUGUCCCAUCCCAGUGUCCCCAUUCCCUCCCAGUGCCCCCGUCCCCUUCCCAGUGUCCUCUUCCCAGUGUCCCCAUCCCCUCCCAGUGCUCCCAGUCCCCCUGCCCUCCCACUAUCCUUUGAUCCCCUCCCAGUGUCCCUUGAUCCCCUCCCAGUGGCCCCUGGUCCAUACUGGGAGCACAGGAGUGUCUACACUGGUCUAUACUGGAACUCCCUACUGGUCUAUAGCAGUUCUUACUGGUCUGUAGGGCUCCUUGAUGGUCUAAACCAGUCAGGGCAGGAUAAAACCUAAUGGUUCUUACUGGUCUGUACUGGUCCUUAGUAGUUUACGGUAGUUCCCGCUAACCUCUAGCGGUGUAUACUGGUCUAAACUGGUCUGCAGGGCACCUGUACUGGUACGUAGUAGAAAAAGGGGGAAGAGCCUACUGGUUUGCAGAAUUCCUUACUGGUCUGAACUGGUGCCUACUGGGCCAUAGCACUCUCCACCAGCACCAGUGAACCAAAUGGACCUGAAGGACUCCCUGUUGGUCCCUUACUGGUUUGUACUGGUUCAUACUGGUCCCUUACUGGCUUUUGCUGCUUUUUUACUGGCCUCUACUGGAUUUUACGAGCCAAUAUUGUUUUUUACUGGUUUCUUACUGGUUCCUACUGCUUUUUUACUGGCCUCUACUGGAUUUUACUGCUUUUUUACUGGCCUCUACUGGAUUUUACUGCUUUUUUACUGGCCUCUACUGGAUUUUACGAGCCUCUACCGUUUCUUACUGGUUAAUACGACUUCUUACUGCUUCCUACCAGUUCCUUACUGGCUUUUACUGCUUUUUUACUGGUUCCUUACUGGCUUUUACUGCUUUUUUAUUGGCCUCUACUGGAUUUUACGAACCUCUGCCAUUUUUUACUGGUUCCUUACUGGCCUCUACUGGUUUUUACUAGCCUCUACCGUUUCUUAUUGGUUUCUAUGACUUCUUACUGGUUCCUACCAGUUCCUUACUGGUUCCUACUACUUUUUUACUGGCCUCUACUGGAUUUUACUGCUUUUUUUACCAGCCUUUACUGGAUUUUACGAGCCUCUAUUGUUUUUUACUGGUUCCUUACUGGUUCCCACUGCUUUUUUACUGGCCUCUACCGUUUUUUACUGGUUCCUACUGCUUUUUUGCUGGCCUCUACUGGAUUUUACUGGUUUCCACCACUUCUUACUGGCUCCUCCUGGCCCCCCCCGGCCCGUACUCACGCAGGGGGGUGCAGAGCAGCAGCAGCCCCAGGGCGACGUUGCGCAGCACCACCAGGAGCUUCUG